AGGAAUUUAGGAUAAUUUAAACCAAAAGCCUUCAAAGCUUUAAAUAAAGGCUAAUACCUCUAAUUCCUG
rnacentral:tRNA from 1 species